AAACUGCUGCUGGCCCGCGGGAGAAGCCUCUCCCCUUGCCUGAGAUUCCAGCACAGAGGUGUCCAGAUCAGCGGCAGGGAGCCGGCUGGUACACGGGAGGCGCGAAGAUGGAGGAGACGACGCUGGACCCUCUGCUGAUGAUGAGGACAGAGUCACUUGGAUACAUAUUUUCCAGUCCCUGCAAAAUGUGAGUGCUAUUUAUUCCAAGCGCAUAAGCAGCGGGCACUGAACCAAUUAUGAGACAACCACCUCGCAGACAAUGCAAGGACCUCAUUUCCUGGGUAGCUUUUUUAUUUCUCCCUGCUUUGGAAACUGUAAAACGCUGUCAGCAACAUCAAAUGUGUCAUCUUCCUGGAGCUGUAAAACCAUUCAUGACACACUGGAUUCUGCAUUCACACCGUCCAGGGAUAAGAUAUUUCCGGGUGUGGCCCUAAACAAACAAAACGAAACCAAACCAAAGCCCUCUCUCUGCCGCACAGCAUCUGCGUUUCCGUCUCCUGCACGAGGAUGGGAUUCCAUUAGCAGCACAGACUUUCUCAAAGCCCUCUCCCUCCAGCAUCUAGACUUGCACCAGGGCAAGACAAUAAAUAUUUAUGGUC
ensembl:lncRNA